rnacentral:pre_miRNA from 1 species
AGACACCCUUCUGGGGCAAGACUUGCUUCAGUAGGGCUUUGGUGCUCACUGAGUCUGCCCCCCGAGUGUGUCCCU